rnacentral:lncRNA from 1 species
GGGGUGCAGACGUCUUUGGAACAAAAAGAUGCCCAUGUAACAGAAACCCCUCCAGUCACUCCGAACGGUAUCGGACCAAAUGAAGGUUUCACAUGACAAACCCCGCGUGAAGUUUACAGCGCUCGCUCCCUUCCUGCUGCUCCCCCCCCCACACACACACACACCUCCUCCCCACCUCCGAACGUCAGACAAAACCCAGCCAGAGCCCGGCGCCGGGGCGUUCUGCAGCCGGUGCCACAGCUCAGCGGAGCAGCGCUGCCCACAGCAUCACGAGCCGCCGCUAUCUAUCCCGGCCGCGGCGGAGUGCGGAGGGACGCGAGCGGAGAGCGGGGCCGAACGGAGCGCCGAGCCGGGACGAGAGAAGCUCCUGGUGUCUAAAGACAUUAACUGGUCCACCCACAUCUGCCUGCGGCGGAGGAACGCUCUUCUCCAUUGCUGGGAGAAGAAGACAGAUGGAGCUACGCUCUCCCUGGCUGGGACCAUGGAGAUAGGGUAGUGGUGUUUCGGGUGCUCAGCCUGAGAGGUGCCAGCUCUCAGAACACCAUCACCCCAGGAGGUUUCCGCAGUCAGGCCCAGGGCUGAGCCAUUCAGGGCCCUGGGGAAGCAGGCCGAGGAGUGUGGACCCAUUGCCGAGCUGUUCCUCGCACCUGGUUCCAUACUGACUGCUCGAUCAUAAUUAUUGCCUACAUUUUUCCCCGCCGCCAGCUCUUCUUGAAGGUAAUCGUUAAAUUAGAAAAAAAGGAAAUUUUUUCAAGUGGCGUUCCUGUGAGAAAAGUGAAGAAGAAAAAAGGCUAACUCAUUUGUGCCCAACUCAAGCUUCUGAUAUUAGUCAGGCUGCUUGGUAAUUCAAAAGUGCUGGUGUGUAAAAGGAACUUCAUUUAACGCUGCAGUAAAAGCAGAGCAGAUUUUUCUUUCCCUUUCCGUUUCAGAAGGUACCGACUUCUCCUCCUCAGAGGACUAAGAGUUUUCAAGUGAUUCUUUCUUUGAAAGAGGCUGCCACUUCUGCCUUCCCUGUGAACCUACUGGGUUAAGCUUCUCCUCCGCAUCCACGAGGGAGGGACACAUCUCCUCACACAGGCAAGUCACAUCCAGCGGACGUCACUGGACAGAAAUCAGCGAAUUUCGGGGCGUGCAUUGCUUCCUGCUCAUCCCGCCUCCACCUCCGGGCCUUGUUAGAAGAUCCCCAUCCUGAACUGGGAUUUACGCCAGCCUCGGGGCACUCCUUUCUGUUGCUUCUAAACUCAGAAGGCAGAGAGGGAAGUAAGUUGCGGUGCUGAGAGAUGCAACCGUGCCUACACACUAAGAUUCUUUCCCCUAAAAUCCCCCACAGUUGCUACUGCCAGUUCAGUCCCCAGGCGCAGCCGUGCUGUGGAAGGCGGAAUGUGCUGAGAUGCAGCCAGGGGUGACUCAGGCACCAUGUUCCCAGCUUUCUUGGGGCGUCCCCUGCCCCCUCGUGCCUUGCGCUCAUCCAGGAUCUUGCUUCUAAGGCAGCAGUU